rnacentral:rRNA from 1 species
CACGUAGGGGGCAAGCGUUGUCCGGAAUCAUUGGGCGUAAAGAGCUCGUAGGCGGCUCAGUAAGUCGGGUGUGAAACCUCCAGGCUCAACCUGGAGACGCCACCCGAUACUGCUGUGGCUAGAGUCCAGUAGGGGAGUGUGGAAUUCCCGGUGUAGCGGUGAAAUGCGCAGAUAUCGGGAGGAACACCAGCGGCGAAGGCAGCCCCCUGGGAUAACACUGACGCUCAUGCACGAAAGCGUGGGGAGCAAACAGG